rnacentral:lncRNA from 1 species
CUAAGGAACAUACUAGAAGAAAUUGAUAAUUGAUGUAGAAAGAACACAGGUUCGAGAACAUGCGAGAAAAAGCCCCAAAUCCUUCUGAAGCAUUGAAGGUUCGAGAUUUUUCCAGAUACAGUUUGUUAGCGAAAGCCCAAUUAGAUUUCCCGAGAAACUACCAGAAUCGUUCUUCUGCAUCCUAUAAAUAAUCAAACCCAUCAGCCCUAAUCCCACAAUCGACAAUAAGAAGCAGUUCAGUUCUGAAUUACUUUCUCAGCGAUCUAUCAAUCUUUUCUAAGCGAUAAACAAAUUGGAAAUGGCUCUGAUUCCAA